GGAGAGUUGCCGGAGUGGUCGAACGGGACGCACUCGAAAUGCGUUGUAUGCGAAAGCGUACCGGGGGUUCGAAUCCCUCACUCUCCGCCA
rnacentral:tRNA from 1 species